ensembl:piRNA 21ur-937 ncRNA
CGUACUCUGUGCUCAAAUUUA